CCAAAACCAUUUCUGAAUUUCUCUUGUGGAACCUUUGUUUCUGGAAUACUUGCAUGAUGAGGAUAUGUGGAAAAUGGAGUCAUGGAAUCUCUGAGUUAGAAGGUUAUCUGGUCCAGCCACCUCCUCUUCUUAAACUCUUGUACAAAAUCAAAACAUUAAAUGGGAUGGCUGAUGACUCUUUUCUUAAAGAACUUCAGUUCUUGGAUAGAUGCCAGCUUAGUCAGUCUGGGCUCAUAUUUGCAGUUGGUUGCUAAGAUUUUAACAUCCCAGUCAUUUGACAAAAGCUAACUUCAAAAGUAACUGUUACCUUUAUUAAGGUAUAGCAAAUGUGUUCAUUUGGAUGUUUACUGGGAAUUUUUGGUAUCUCAGUAGGGGGAAAACGCCCUCCUUGGCUGUGUUUCAGGGCUGGCUUCCUCUAGACUAGGAAGAGCCAAUUACUGUGGUAAACAGGGUCAUUUAUACAUCAGCAGUUUUCCUGUCAUCACCCCAUGCCAGCCUUGGGAAUACUGACCUUUGUGUAGCAUAGCAUGUUCUUGUCCUCAGUGAUCAAGCCAGACUCACUCCUUUCAUAUUAUGGAUAUGGAGAGAAAAGCUGACUCUGUAGCAACUGGUGUGAUACAGGAUUUUAAGGCACGUUUUGUUCACUUAAGCUAUAGUACUUUCCUUGGUGCCGUGUACUCUAAAUCACCCAUGCAGUUUCAUCUUGCAGUCAAGAGCAUGGAAGAUCCUUGCCUUUUCUGGAAGGAACAUUAGACAUGGGCACUUUAACACUCUGAAGAGAGCAGAUGCCUGCUCAAACCAAUGGAAUGCUCAACAAACUGAGUCCAGGAGAAGAAAUUGCUCCUGAGUGCUGACCUCAGGCCUCUAGUACUGGCUUUUCUAGGAGAUGACAGAAGAUAUGUGAAGAAGAACGGGAAUCAGAGGAGGGCACAGGCAGAGGAUGCUGACUACAUCAGUCAGGAAGAGGGCGAGGCUAACUUUACUUCUUUUUACUGCAGAUAGAGUCAUAAUAGACUCAUCAGAAAUAAUCAGAGGUGGAGGGGAGCAAUGUCAUCGUGGACAGGCUAUGGGGAAACAGUUACUGCUAGCAAUAGAGAGCAAUGGGACCACAGAGCCCAUGCCUCUGACCAUUGAUUGCCCUUCUGGUAAGUGCCAUGUCGCAGCAGGGCUGCGUGACUGAAAUAGCUCUUCUUGUCUUGGAAGAAAGUGCUGAGCAGGAACUCUGUGGUUAUUGUUUGUUGGCCCUCCUGCAAAAUUGAUUCCUUGCUGUGUCCCAAGCUUUUCUCAACUCUGAAAAUCAUUUGCUUUCCCUUUCUCAUUGUGUGACAAUUUUGGUACCUAUGUGAGUUUUAACAGCUGAGAUGAACACUUACCCUGCAAGGGUUUGGAAAACUCUAUGGCUCAACUGCAUCACACAUGUUGUACUAGGGUGUACUCAGUGUACUGUGGAGUACAAACGGGCAGCAUAUUAUGGUUUUCAAAUCACUUUAAGAUUCAGUUUUAAACUCAUUUGAAUCAUAUUAAUGUAUCACCAAAAUAAUAGCCCAACCUUUUGAAUCCUGAAUUACCCAGUUUAAGGUUCUUUCAGAAAAAUAAUAAAGAGUUAGAAAUUCAAAAUCA
rnacentral:lncRNA from 1 species